rnacentral:rRNA from 1 species
UACGUAGGGGGCGAGCGUUGUCCGGAAUCAUUGGGCGUAAAGCGCGUGUAGGCGGCUUGGUAAGUCUGGUGUGAAAUCUUGGGGCUCAACCCCAAGCCUGCACUGGAUACUGCCUCGCUAGAGUCCGGGAGAGGAGAGUGGAAUUCCCAGUGUAGCGGUGAAAUGCGCAGAUAUUGGGAAGAACACCGGUGGCGAAGGCGGCUCUCUGGAACGGUACUGACGCUGAGACGCGAAAGCGUGGGGAGCGAACAGGAUUAGAUACCCGCGUAGUCC